rnacentral:rRNA from 1 species
CGGGGUGAGUAACGCGUGGAUAACCUGCCUCAUACAGGGGGAUAACAGUUAGAAAUGAUUGCUAAUACCGCAUAAGCGCACAGGACCGCAUGGUCCGGUGUGAAAAACUCCGGUGGUAUGGGAUGGAUCCGCGUCUGAUUAGCUGGUUGGUGAGGUGACGGCCCACCAAGGCGACGAUCAGUAGCCGACCUGAGAGGGUGGCCGGCCACAUUGGGACUGAGACACGGCCCAAACUCCUACGGAAGGCAGCAG